AUACGUAGGGGGCAAGCGUUAUCCGGAUUUACUGGGUGUAAAGGGAGCGUAGACGGACUGGCAAGUCUGAUGUGAAAGGCGGGGGCUCAACCCCUGGACUGCAUUGGAAACUGUUAGUCUUGAGUGCCGGAGAGGUAAGCGGAAUUCCUAGUGUAGCGGUGAAAUGCGUAGAUAUUAGGAGGAACACCAGUGGCGAAGGCGGCUUACUGGACGGUAACUGACGUUGAGGCUCGAAAGCGUGGGGAGC
rnacentral:rRNA from 1 species